ACGAGGUUGUCUACUAGGCUGUAGUUUCUGGUUCAGAAUUUCUAGAACCACUGCUGACACUGGCUUAUGCUUAUUGUCCAAUCCACAUAUACUGCAAUAAUAUUCCUCACACUUUCCAGUGUUUUGUUGCCUUUACUGAACUCAUAAAGCAAAAUAUGCUGAAUAUGUUCCGUUGUCACUUCCA